rnacentral:rRNA from 1 species
AGAGUUUGAUCCUGGCUCAGGAUGAACGCUGGCGGCGUGCCUAACACAUGCAAGUCGAGCGAUUUACUUCGGUAAAGAGCGGCGGACGGGUGAGUAACGCGUGGGUAACCUGCCCUGUACACACGGAUAACAUACCGAAAGGUAUGCUAAUACGAGAUAAUAUGCUUUUAUCGCAUGGUAGAAGUAUCAAAGCUCCGGCGGUACAGGAUGGACCCGCGUCUGAUUAGCUAGUUGGUAAGGUAACGGCUUACCAAGGCGACGAUCAGUAGCCGACCUGAGAGGGUGAUCGGCCACAUUGGAACUGAGACACGGUCCAAACUCCUACGGGAGGCAGCAGUGGGGAAUAUUGCACAAUGGGCGAAAGCCUGAUGCAGCAACGCCGCGUGAGCGGUGAAGGCCUUCGGGUCGUAAAGCUCUGUCAUCAAGGAAGAUAAUGACGGUACUUGAGGAGGAAGCCCCGGCUAACUACGUGCCAGCAGCCGCGGUAAUACGUAGGGGGCUAGCGUUAUCCGGAAUUACUGGGCGUAAAGGGUGCGUAGGUGGUUUCUUAAGUCAGAGGUGAAAGGCUACGGCUCAACCGUAGUAAGCCUUUGAAACUGGGAAACUUGAGUGCAGGAGAGGAGAGUGGAAUUCCUAGUGUAGCGGUGAAAUGCGUAGAUAUUAGGAGGAACACCAGUUGCGAAGGCGGCUCUCUGGACUGUAACUGACACUGAGGCACGAAAGCGUGGGGAGCAAACAGGAUUAGAUACCCUGUAGUCCACGCCGUAAACGAUGAGUACUAGCUGUCGGAGGUUACCCCCUUCGGUGGCGCAGCUAACGCAUUAAGUACUCCGCCUGGGAAGUACGCUCGCAAGAGUGAAACUCAAAGGAAUUGACGGGGACCCGCACAAGUAGCGGAGCAUGUGGUUUAAUUCGAAGCAACGCGAAGAACCUUACCUAAGCUUGACAUCCUUUUGACCGAUGCCUAAUCGCAUCUUUCCCUUCGGGGACAGAAGUGACAGGUGGUGCAUGGUUGUCGUCAGCUCGUGUCGUGAGAUGUUGGGUUAAAUCCCGCAACGAGCGCAACCCUUGCCUUUAGUUGCCAGCAUUAAGUUGGGCACUCUAGAGGGACUGCCAGGGAUAACCUGGAGGAAGGUGGGGAUGACGUCAAAUCAUCAUGCCCCUUAUGCUUAGGGCUACACACGUGCUACAAUGGGUGGUACAGAGGGCAGCCAAGUCGUGAGGCGGAGCUAAUCCCUUAAAGCCAUUCUCAGUUCGGAUUGUAGGCUGAAACUCGCCUACAUGAAGCUGGAGUUACUAGUAAUCGCAGAUCAGAAUGCUGCGGUGAAUGCGUUCCCGGGUCUUGUACACACCGCCCGUCACACCACGGGAGUUGGGGGCGCCCGAAGCCGGAUUGCUAACCUUUUGGAAGCGUCCGUCGAAGGUGAAAUCAAUAACUGGGGUGAAGUCGUAACAAGGUA